rnacentral:lncRNA from 1 species
GUUUUAGAACAGGAAUGUUAAGAUGAAUUAUAUAGCGAAAAGAAAAGCAGUCAGCGCUGUGCAUUUUCCCUCUUUGAUCGCAAUUUCUGCCAAACUGUUUCUCCUAGAAAUGCUAUGGGUUCAACAUUUUGGCUUGAGUUGGUAUUUUGAUACGUUCCAGUCCUGGUCGAAGAGAUGCACACUGAACCUCACACAGUCCCUGCAGGAUUUUGGAAUACAAUUCCUCAGUAUUACUGCUCUGUGCUGCAUUAUGCAUGGGAAAAAAUCUUUUCAAGGAUCCUCAGUUCUCCAGGAGGGUCACAUGCAGUAAGAUGCGUGCAUCUCUCAGAAUUAAGAUUCUUCAUUGAAGCCCUGCUCCUCGUUGCACCUAAUUCAUUUGCAGUACAGGACUCUUGUGAAUACUUGGCCAUUAGAUUUCUUAGAGCCAAGCCAAUGUGGAAAGAAGAAAAGGACGAUCAGGAAAAGCAAG